GAAGACUUUGAUGGGAAGAUGCAUGAUGGCGAGCUUGAACAAGAAGAGGAUGAUGAGAAGUCUGACAGUGAGGAUGGAGACCUGGAUAAGCAGAUGGGCAAUCUCAAUGGCGAGGAAGCUGACAAACUAGAUGAGAGGCUUUGGGGAGAUGAUGAGGAAGAAGAUGAAGACGAUGACGGUAAAGGUGAAGAAGCAGGACCAGGGAUGGAUGAGGAAGAUUCUGAACUUGUUGCUAAAGAUGACAACUUGGAUGCUGGAAAUUUGAACAAAAAUAAAAAACAUCAAGGUGAGGAGGAAGACUCGGAACCUGAAGAUGUUGAACAAGGCCAA
rnacentral:lncRNA from 1 species